UACGUAGGGAGCAAGCGUUAUCCGGAUUUAUUGGGUGUAAAGGGUGCGUAGACGGGAAGACAAGUUGGUUGUGAAAUCCCUCGGCUUAACUGAGGAACUGCAACCAAAACUAUCACUCUUGAGUGCUGGAGAGGAAAGUGGAAUUCCUAGUGUAGCGGUGAAAUGCGUAGAUAUUAGGAGGAACACCAGUGGCGAAGGCGGCUUUCUGGACCGUAACUGACGCUGAGGCACGAAAGCGUGGGGAGCAAAC
rnacentral:rRNA from 1 species